UACGGAGGGUGCAAGCGUUAUCCGGAUUCACUGGGUUUAAAGGGUGCGUAGGAGGGCAGGUAAGUCAGUGGUGAAAUCUCCAAGCUUAACUUGGAACUGCCGUUGAUACUAUCUGUCUUGAAUACCGUGGAGGUGAGCGGAAUAUGUCAUGUAGCGGUGAAAUGCUUAGAUAUGACAUAGAACACCAAUUGCGAAGGCAGCUCGCUAACACG
rnacentral:rRNA from 1 species